UGAGGAAUAUUGGUCAAUGGGCGAGAGCCUGAACCAACCAAAUCGCGUGAAGGAAGACUGCCUUAUGGGUUGUAAACUUCUUUUAUACAGGAAUAAAAAAGGGGACGUGUCCCUUAUUGCAUGUACUGUAUGAAUAAGCAUCGGCUAACUCCGUGCCAGCAGCCGCGGUAAUACGGAGGAUGCGAGCGUUAUCCGGAUUUAUUGGGUUUAAAGGGUGCGCAGGCGGGCUUUUAAGUCAGCGGUGAAAUCUCGGGGCUUAACUCCGAAACUGCCGUUGAAACUGGGAGUCUUGAGUAUGGAUGAAGUAGGCGGAAUUCGUUGUGUAGCGGUGACAUGCUUAGAUAUAACGAGGAACUCCGAUUGCGUAGGCAGCUUACUAAGCCAUAACUGACGCUCAAGCACGAAAGCGUGGGGAUCAAACAGGAUUAGAUACCCCUGGUAGUCCACGCCGUAAACGAUGAUUACUAGUUGUAUGCGAUAUACCGUAUGUGACUAAGCGAAAGCGAUAAGUAAUCCACCUGGGGAGUACGCCGGCAACGGUGAAACUCAAAUGAAUUGA
rnacentral:rRNA from 1 species